GCACCUCAGUACAACCCGGUCGAUUCUGUUUGAUCUGGGUCCCAGCGGUGCCACAGAAACUCAUCGUGAAUCCAGACGGGCCUCCUCUUCCCGUGGAGACCGUCUCUACAACUUUGAAACAACC
ensembl:snoRNA